UCUCAUCUGAGGAUGAGAAGAUGGAUGCGGACGAGGUGAAGAUAAGUGGCCUGUUCAAGAGCAUCUACCUUCAUGCACUUAAGCUCUGAGCUCCAGAGUUUUGUGCUUUCAAUGAACACAUGGAUCAAUAGCACUGCGGAAACCGAGAGAGAGGCAGAAGAGGGGCGGAAUGAGGGGAAACUCGCCCGGAGAAAAGUGAAAACGCUUCAUUUGCAGAUACGCAGUUAACUUCCUCUCGAGUGUCCAUGGACGGACUUUUGACUGUUCCAAUAUGGCGGACGACUUUCGUACAGCGAACCACAGAAACAAAUGCUAACAAGGCAUGGCUUUGAUCCUGUCAAUCAUCUCUUGUGUUCCACCAAAUAAAGGAGUCACACAGGUUUCCAACAUCGUUCGGUCUGGAGCUCGGCCAACAUGCAGCGAAGCAGAGAACGGGCGAUGCAUCCCAACGGACCUGCGGCUCUGACAACACCCUGCUUUCCCCCACUGAAAUCUUUAUUUACUGCCCCCACACCUCUCCCUCGCUUGGGCAAUUAAACCUCCGCUGAGUCAGACUGUGAGGUUGAGCACUUUCCGUCAGGAGUUUCUCUUCCGUCGGGCAUGCGAGGAUACACUUCAUUUGGUUGUUUGUCGUUCCUACCUCGCUCCAGUUCGACACUGUUACACACGGCAUGAGUACUCCAGGACAAAAUCUGAUGUUAUCCCGGCUUCAUCCGAGAGCAUUCCCAAGAGCAUUUUGCGGCUUCAAUGGAAACAAGGCUGUCUGACCUUUUGAAGUCUCCUCACCUUUGAAGUCGAAUCAUGCCUUCCACAUGACUGAGAUGAACUCACAGAACAGCACACGCCUGAGAUGACGGCGUGGACGUCAUUUAUUGUCACCGGUUUCAUUCUAGGAUUCUCGUAUUGUUCACAGAGUGAAAGUUGUGUGGCUCUAACUCAAGUCUUCUGGUCGACUGGUCCAGUGGAAACCCGCAGGCGAGUCAAUGUGCAUUGCUCAUUUCAACAGUGGGAAGAAAGGAAAUCUACAUUCACCUUUUACCAGGGUCUGGAUCUCUCCUCCUGGAAAACAUCACCCAAAAUGGCAAACACUCUUUUUUAUGCACCUGUUUUGCACAGUCUCAGGGUCUCUUGUGCUCAAAGAACAUAAGCACUGUGGCCGGGGUCGUUCACCCAGCACCUGUGCUCCAGACCUCAGAUAAUCCAUCUUCCGUCAGUAACAUUAACAUGAAAUGGUUAAGCAGUGGUGUGUUUGGAACCACUGUAACCACAUGUGUCGUACUCGUAAUCUACAUUAUAUACAGAAGAUGGACUGGAAACGGCAUCGAUCGACUGCGUCUGAGAUAAAGAGAGAUUCGGGCACAAUGUCCUGAAGGAGAGAUAUUAUUUUCACUGGCAUUAGAUGUCAUUAUUCAAGUUGCAUUUACAUUUAGGCUAACUUUAAAGAGUGUGAAUACAUUGAUGCAAAUUAUAAAAUAAUAUGAAAAUGAUUUAUUGUUUGGAUUAGUUUUGAAAUGUUUAAAUGUAUUUCCACAGAUCUGUGAUUUUAUAUCUUCUCUUUCAUACCAAGUAGCUGUGUUCUGCAAUUCUAUUUCAAACAUUUAAUGUAACAUUUACAAUAAA